rnacentral:rRNA from 1 species
AUUGAACGCUGGCGGCAUGCCUUACACAUGCAAGUCGAACGGCAGCACGGGGCAACCUGGUGGCGAGUGGCGAACGGGUGAGUAAUGUAUCGGAACGUACCAUUGAGAGGGGGAUAACGUAGCGAAAGUCACGCUAAUACCGCAUAUACCCUGAGGGGGAAAGCAGGGGAUCGCAAGACCUUGUGCUCUUUGAGCGGCCGAUAUCAGAUUAGCUAGUUGGUGAGGUAAAGGCUCACCAAGGCGACGAUCUGUAGCGGGUCUGAGAGGAUGAUCCGCCACACUGGGACUGAGACACGGCCCAGACUCCUACGGGAGGCAGCAGUGGGGAAUUUUGGACAAUGGGCGCAAGCCUGAUCCAGCCAUGCCGCGUGAGUGAAGAAGGCCUUCGGGUUGUAAAGCUCUUUCGGCCGGGAAGAAAUCGUACAGGUUAAUACCCUGUGUGGAUGACGGUACCGGAAUAAGAAGCACCGGCUAACUACGUGCCAGCAGCCGCGGUAACAC